rnacentral:sRNA from 1 species
AGAUUAAAGUCCCCUGUUUCUUCCCAGAUUGCAUACAGCAUGGGCAACAGCAGUGCUAGCUUCUCCACACCAUCGUGCGCACAUGCUUCAACCCUGACCUUUAGGGACCGCCACUACAGCUGAGAGGAUCGUUCCAUCU